GAUGAACGCUGACGGCGUGCCUAAUACAUGCAAGUCGAGCGAAUGGAUUAAGAGCUUGCUCUUAUGAAGUUAGCGGCGGACGGGUGAGUAACACGUGGGUAACCUGCCCAUAAGACUGGGAUAACUCCGGGAAACCGGGGCUAAUACCGGAUAACAUUUUGAACCGCAUGGUUCGAAAUUGAAAGGCGGCUUCGGCUGUCACUUAUGGAUGGACCCGCGUCGCAUUAGCUAGUUGGUGAGGUAACGGCUCACCAAGGCAACGAUGCGUAGCCGACCUGAGAGGGUGAUCGGCCACACUGGGACUGAGGCACGGCCCAGACUCCUACGGGAGGUAGCAGUAGGGAAUCUUCCGCAAUGGACGAAAGUCUGACGGAGCAACGCCGCGUGAGUGAUGAAGGCAUUCGGGUCGUAAAACUCUGUUGUUAGGGAAGAACAAGUGCUAGUUGAAUAAGCUGGCACCUUGACGGUACCUAACCAGAAAGCCACGGCUAACUACGUGCCAGCCGCCGCGGUAA
rnacentral:rRNA from 1 species